UUACCUAUCUACAUGUUGGUAAAACUAUGCCUCUGGGGCCUAGGCAGUCCACCCAUGGAAGGACAUGGGUCCUUCCCCAGUGAUGAUGGGGCUGCUGAAGAGGAUGGGACAGAGGCUUGGGACCUCUAGUCUAGACAGGCAAAAUCUGGGAGUAAAUGUGAUCAAAAUCCACUAAGGAUAAGUACCAUUGAUAAAAUUGGGGUGGACUGGGAUGCCACAUCCUGAAACGCUGGAGCGACAAGAGCAUGAGUAGGAUGCUCCGCUUUCGUGGCGCGCUCGCGGAGAUAGUCUAUCCGAAUCACUAAGACCUCAGGACUUAAGACUGUUUCCAUCCAGCCAGGACUUAGAAGAGCAACAAGUUACCCUGCCCACUUUUCUAUAAACACCUGGGUAACAUCAUCUGCAAUACAGGAGCCACAUGUUAUUAAAUUUUGCAGAUCUGGAAUAAGGGAUGCCCCUCGCCAAAAGACGUGUCUCGCCCAUGGCCAUGAAGUCAUUUUGUGUUUGUACACCUACCAGUACAGUGAUUCUCAACUCUGGAAGCACACUAGAAUCAGCCCAGACCAGAACCAAAUGUAUGGAGGCUGGUGGACGGAUGGUGAAGAGAGAGGCCCAGCUGACAGCAGAGAGCACAGCACGGGAUUCGAACCCCAUGGAGGAGGACUGGGCUACCCCACGGACCCUGGAUGCCCAAGAAUAAGAAACACUGUGCCUGACGGAAGGUGGGACAGAAAAGUAGACCAAGAAGGGUGGUGGAGAUGGAGGGAAUAGAGUGCAGUCUGUAACUUUGACCAAGGGCCAGCACUCUACUCCAGGCAACUCAAGAUAAACAUGAGGUCCAGUGAGAGCAGGGAGGAUUAAUCCAUGGUAUAUGGGGACAUUCAACAAAAUAGCUAGCUGGGACUCUCUCAAAGGUCCCUAUCAGAGGGGCAAAUCUAGACUUAAAGAACCCCAAAAGAAAUGAUAGUGUAAUGCAUAAAACUUCACUGGAUCCUGGUUCAAAAAAUAAAAGACAGUGAACAUAUAUAUGCCAGCUGGGGAGAACUGAAUAUGCAAUGGCUAUUAGAUGACAUAAAAUUUAUGUUAAUUUUUUUAGGUAUGACAAUAGUAUUGUGGAUAUGUUGGGAAAAUGUCCUUACUUUUAGGAGAUACCUGCUGAAGUAGUUAGGGAUGAAGUGAUGUUAUGCCUAUAAUUUGUCUUCAAAUAAUUCUGAAAAUAAAUGUGUGUACAUAAAUACAGAUAUAUGCAUCAAACACACAACUACACACACU